ensembl:snRNA U6 U6 spliceosomal RNA
CUGCUCACUUUGGCAGCACAUGUGCUAAAACUGGAACGAAACAGUGAAGAUUAGCAUGAGCCCUGUGUGAGGAUGACACACAAAGUUGUAAAACAUUCCUUGUUUAU